GAGUUGAUCCUGGCUCAGGACGAACGCUGGCGGCGUGCCUAAUACAUGCAAGUCGAGCGAGCGGAACUAACAGAUUUACUUCGGUAAUGACGUUAGGAAAGCGAGCGGCGGAUGGGUGAGUAACACGUGGGGAACCUGCCCCAUAGUCUGGGAUACCACUUGGAAACAGGUGCUAAUACCGGAUAAGAAAGCAGAUCGCAUGAUCAGCUUUUAAAAGGCGGCGUAAGCUGUCGCUAUGGGAUGGCCCCGCGGUGCAUUAGCUAGUUGGUAAGGUAAAGGCUUACCAAGGCGAUGAUGCAUAGCCGAGUUGAGAGACUGAUCGGCCACAUUGGGACUGAGACACGGCCCAAACUCCUACGGGAGGCAGCAGUAGGGAAUCUUCCACAAUGGACGCAAGUCUGAUGGAGCAACGCCGCGUGAGUGAAGAAGGUUUUCGGAUCGUAAAGCUCUGUUGUUGGUGAAGAAGGAUAGAGGUAGUAACUGGCCUUUAUUUGACGGUAAUCAACCAGAAAGUCACGGCUAACUACGUGCCAGCAGCCGCGGUAAUACGUAGGUGGCAAGCGUUGUCCGGAUUUAUUGGGCGUAAAGCGAGCGCAGGCGGAAGAAUAAGUCUGAUGUGAAAGCCCUCGGCUUAACCGAGGAAGUGCAUCGGAAACUGUUUUUCUUGAGUGCAGAAGAGGAGAGUGGAACUCCAUGUGUAGCGGUGAAAUGCGUAGA
rnacentral:rRNA from 1 species